rnacentral:rRNA from 1 species
AUGAACGCUGACAGAAUGCUUAACACAUGCAAGUCGAACGGGGUUGCUGCCUGAAAUCUUUCGGGACGGACGGCAGUACACCUAGUGGCGAACGGGUGAGUAACGCGUGGAUAACCUGCCCAAAAGACCGGGACAACACCGGGAAACCGGUGCUAAUACCGGAUAAGCUCUUUAAUCCGCAUGGAUUGAAGAGUAAAGGUGCUAUGCGCCGCUUUUGGAUGGAUCCGCGUCCCAUUAGCUAGUUGGUGCGGUAGAGGCGCACCAAGGCGACGAUGGGUAGCCGGCCUGAGAGGGUGAGCGGCCACACUGGGACUGAGACACGGCCAG